GAGUUUGAUCGUGGCUCAGAUUGAACGCUGGCGGCAUGCCUUACACAUGCAAGUCGAACGGCAGCACGGGAGCUUGCUCCUGGUGGCGAGUGGCGAACGGGUGAGUAAUGCAUCGGAACGUAUCCUGGAGUGGGGGAUAACGUAGCGAAAGUUACGCUAAUACCGCAUAUUCUGUGAGCAGGAAAGCGGGGGACCUUCGGGCCUCGCGCUCUUGGAGCGGCCGAUGUCGGAUUAGCUAGUUGGUGAGGUAAAGGCUCACCAAGGCGACGAUCCGUAGCAGGUCUGAGAGGAUGAUCUGCCACACUGGAACUGAGACACGGUCCAGACUCCUACGGGAGGCAGCAGUGGGAAUUUUGGACAAUGGGGGCAACCCUGAUCCAGCCAUGCCGCGUGAGUGAAGAAGGCCUGGUGUAAG
rnacentral:rRNA from 1 species